CUCAACCCCCACCUCGCCUGCCCAGUGUUCAGACUACCUGUUCAUCAGGCUGCAGCUGAACAGUAGUCUGCACAUUGGUUAGGCUAGGCUGGGAAAUGAC
rnacentral:pre_miRNA from 14 species